GAUGAAGAACGUAGCGAAAUGCGAUAAGUAAUGUGAAUUGCAGAAUUCAGUGAAUCAUCGAAUCUUUGAACGCACAUUGCGCCCGCCAGUAUUCUGGCGGGCAUGCCUGUUCGAGCGUCAUUUCAACCAUCAAGCCCCCGGCUUGUGUUGGGGACCUGCGGCUGCCGCAGGCCCUGAAAAGCAGUGGCGGGCUCGCUGUCACACCGAGCGUAGUAGCAUACAUCUCGCUCUGGGCGUGCUGCGGGUUCCGGCCGUUAAACCACCUUCAUAACCCAAGGUUGACCUCGGAUCAGGUAGGAAGACCCGAUGAACUUAAGCAUAUCAAUAAGCGGAGGA
rnacentral:misc_RNA from 1 species